CCUUGGCUUGAAUAUUUUCAGAUCAUAUAGUGAGGAACAAGGCUGACAAAAGAGAAAGAAGAAGGGGACAAACACAAUUUUUUUUUCCCUUUCCGGUGCUCGUCUUAAUUGGUGUCGCAAAAGCCUCAUCUCAGUUGACUGCUCGGCAGCCAAUUGCAGGGUACAAAAAUUCACACUCAAAUUCCCACGUAUGGGCAAUACCACGGUGUUUCGUAAUGCAGCUGUCAUUUUUAAAGACAGUGUUUCAAUAGUCUUUUAGGCAUAAAGAAAAAAAAAAAAAGAAAGACCAAUUACAGAACCAUAAGCCUCACAUUUGGCCCGUGGCGCUGGCCGGUCAAAUGAAAAUCCAGUAAAGAAAUGACUGCAGUCUAGCCCGCAGGGCAAACACUUUCACACAUUUCACCCAAUGAAGUCAUGCUUGACUUUUAAUUAGCCAGAGGGAAGGAAUGAGACAGAAAGAAAGGCCGGGAAAGAAGAAAGCAAGCAAGAAAGAAAGAAAGGCGAGGCUCGAAGAAAGUGCGAAGGAAGAGGCAGGGAGAGUAAGCGGGUUAAAGUGAGCGAGGCUGAUUAAUUGAACAAGCUCAUAUCCUACACAUCUCCUCGGCUUCCCUCACUCCCCGAGAUGAGUUAUGAACUCCCCAGUUUCCAGUCUCGCAGCAGGUGGUCAUGGCAACUGCGGUGCCACUGCAUUUCAUGUUCUGAUGCGGGGAGAACCGGUCUGAGAAGAUGGAUGAUGGAGGACCAAGCAGCAUCCAAGGCCAUUACUAGGACAAUGCUGCACUACACUGGAGGACAAGAUGUGUGUGUGUGUGUGUGUGUGUACAUGCGUGCGUGUGUGCCGUAGCCUAUUUGAUCUGUUUCGUUCCAAAUCGAAAACUUUCUGGACUUUUCUUGACACCGUUCUCUGUCAGCUGAUUCAAUUGUGCUCACGAUGGCUAUCGUGGGCGGGGUGGUGGGGGGGGGGGACAAACACAAGUGCCACACCAAUCCUAAGAACCCUUUCAUCAUCAUUUGCUGUGUUUGGAGACCAUUGUAUGCUCCAAAGCUAUUAGUGGAACAGUACCCAACUGCAUAUUAUUGAGGGGAAAAAAACAAAACAUCAAUUGGGUCAUGCAUACGCUGUAAUGACACCAAAUGGCCACAUUUGCCGCCCUGGGAGUUUUGGGGAGUAAAUGUGUUUGUGUUUGUGUGUGUAUUUCACAGUUCCGUGGUAUUUCCUUCUACAUCUUGACAUACAAUUCUCAAGUGCAAAUGAAAAUGAAAUUAACAGCUGGCUAUUACACUGCAACUAGCGGUACAAUUAAAAAAAAAAAAAAAAAAAAAAAGUGGAGUUAUAUUCAAUUUGUGUGUUCUUCCGGAGAACUAAAGAAUGAAAUAGCUGCAGAGGAGAGAUUCCCUCUGUCGCCUACAGAUGUUCUUUCGGCGUUAAAUGUCACACUGUAAAUGUCAAAGGUGGAGAGGAGAGGUGAGGCUCGCGGGCAGGCUCGCUGAGAAACAAUCCUCUCCAAUGGCUCACUGGUGAAGCGCUUCUUGUUUGUCCCUGCUGCGCUCCAGCUAAGUUCUCCUUCCUGCUGUUCGUGUUUUUUCGACGACGCUUGCUUUUUGACUGCCACCGACAUCUUGCCCCGAGGCCAGGAUUUAUGCCUCAAUAUGCACGCACUUGCAGGCAGACGCGCAGCAAACAGCGCUAGCCCAUCACCACCCGGUCUCUCACAUGUACACACGCACACAACCCUCGGCUCCGUACGCUUGUUUCAAAGCGAUAACUGAGUGAGUGAGGAAGGAGAGAGAGAGAGCGAAAUGACAUUAACGAAAGGAUUUAUCAAUGUGCUCGUGCCCCAAUUAUCCAGUACCUUCAUUAUGUAUUCAGAAGGAGGUCCCAGAAGUCGCAUUGGAAGUAUACUCAGGGCUCAAGCAAGCGUGGAAUGUGUAUGCAGACAUAUUUCACGCCAUUUAAAAAAGGAAAACUGGCAUUUUUUUAUCCCCCCUGGCAACCCGCCCCUCCCUCCAAAUGAGAUGACUAUUCGUGUUGUUUUGAAGGCCUCAAACAUGCCAAUGGAUGGCUAUCGUGUAUGUGUGUGUGUUCAUAAACAAUAUGCUAUUCUCUGUGGUGGGCUGUGAUGACCCAGGUCACAGCGAGACAUGGGCCACCUCCACGCUUAUGGAUGGCAACAGAUGGAAACACCGCAGUGUAUAUACGCCUCAGCCCACCCGGCAUGUCAGAUCUAGAGCACAUACACGUACACACUCGGCGCUCAUGGUGGGACACAAUUAACACACUCCACAUUCACUCCCCAUACGCGCUUUCCAGGCAAACAUACUCUGCUUUCCUUUGCUGUGGAGUGCUCCGGUCUACGUUUGUGUGUAUUCAUCAUCUCUAAUCACAUCAGUGUGUUUCAGAUUUGUGGUGUGUCGUGUGCGAAUCGCCUCCUCCUGGUCGGCCCAUCUGUGUUGUGCUUGCCGUCACGGUAAUGGUGUCGAAGAUGUCGACCCACCCUGCUGCCUUCAACCAUGUUCACUUCUCUCACCGGGGCCGAACAAUGAUGCAGCAGAGUUCAACGUUCUUCUCCUUUUAAUGGUUUGCCUUUGGCAGUCAGGGAUUCCCGUCAACCCGGCAAAUGGUGGACUUGGGAGUUUUCGGAGCAAGAGGCAAUCAAACCUCAGUUACAAAGUGCGUACUGUCAGUUAAACCACGCUGCCCCCUUGCCCACCUCCCUUACACAAACCUGACAUGUUUGAUAUUUGGAAUGUGGGAGUUGCUGGGCAACACACACACA